rnacentral:rRNA from 1 species
ACUCCUACGGGAGGCAGCAGUGGGGAAUAUUGCACAAUGGGCGCAAGCCUGAUGCAGCCAUGCCGCGUGUAUGAAGAAGGCCUUCGGGUUGUAAAGUACUUUCAGCAGUGAGGAAGGUGGGUAUGUUAAUAGCAUACUCAUUUGACGUUAGCUGCAGAAGAAGCACCGGCUAACUCCGUGCCAGCAGCCGCGGUAAUACGGAGGGUGCGAGCGUUAAUCGGAAUUACUGGGCGUAAAGCGCAUGCAGGUGGUUUGUUAAGUCAGAUGUGAAAGCCCGGGGCUCAACCUCGGAAUUGCAUUUGAAACUGGCAAACUAGAGUACUGUAGAGGGGGGUAGAAUUUCAGGUGUAGCGGUGAAAUGCGUAGAGAUCUGAAGGAAUACCGGUGGCGAAGGCGGCCCCCUGGACAGAUACUGACACUCAGAUGCGAAAGCGUGGGGAGCAAACAGGAUUAGAUACCCUGGUAGGCUGC